rnacentral:rRNA from 1 species
AAUAGAUACCCGUGGUAGUCCACGCCGUAAACGAUGAGUGCUAAGUGUUAGAGGGUUUCCGCCCUUUAGUGCUGCAGCAAACGCAUUAAGCACUCCGCCUGGGGAGUACGGCCGCAAGGCUGAAACUCAAAGGAAUUGACGGGGGCCCGCACAAGCGGUGGAGCAUGUGGUUUAAUUCGAAGCAACGCGAAGAACCUUACCAGGUCUUGACAUCUCCUGACAAUCCUAGAGAUAGGACGUUCCCCUUCGGGGGACAGGAUGACAGGUGGUGCAUGGUUGUCGUCAGCUCGUGUCGUGAGAUGUUGGGUUAAGUCCCGCAACGAGCGCAACCCUUGAUCUUAGUUGCCAGCAUUUAGUUGGGCACUCUAAGGUGACUGCCGGUGACAAACCGGAGGAAGGUGGGGAUGACGUCAAAUCAUCAUGCCCCUUAUGACCUGGGCUACACACGUGCUACAAUGGAUGGUACAAAGGGCAGCAAAGCGGUGACGCCUAGCAAAUCCCAUAAAAACCAUUCUCAGUUCGGAUUGU